rnacentral:rRNA from 1 species
UACCAUGCUGACCAUGCCUGAUCUCAUGUGAUCUCAGAAGCUAAGCAGGGUUGGACCUGGUUAGUACUUGGAUGGGAGAGAGCAGUUGGUU